CCUACGGGGUGCUGCAGUGGGGAAUAUUGGACAAUGGGCGAAAGCCUGAUCCAGCCAUGCCGCGUGUGUGAAGAAGGCCUUCGGGUUGUAAAGCACUUUCAGUGGGGAAGAAAGCCUUGGGGCUAAUACCCUCGAGGAAGGACAUCACCCACAGAAGAAGCACCGGCUAACUCCGUGCCAGCAGCCGCGGUAAUACGGAGGGUGCGAGCGUUAAUCGGAAUUACUGGGCGUAAAGCGCGCGUAGGCGGUCUGAUAAGCCGGUUGUGAAAGCCCCGGGCUCAACCUGGGAACGGCAUCCGGAACUGUCAGGCUAGGGUGCAGGAGAGGAAGGUAGAAUUCCCGGUGUAGCGGUGAAAUGCGUAGAGAUCGGGAGGAAUACCAGUGGCGAAGGCGGCCUUCUGGACUGACACUGACGCUGAGGUGCGAAAGCGUGGGUAGCAAACAGGAUUAGUACCCCGGUAGUC
rnacentral:rRNA from 1 species